GAAGAAGAAAAAGAGGAGUAGAAAAAGGGAGGAAAAUAGAUUUAAGAGGCUAAGAGUACAAAUUGGAGCUCAAGUUUGCUGAUUCUUUAAUCUCCAAUUUCAUUAAGGUGAUGACGUGAAAGCUUGAGAAGGCUGGUCAAUUUGACCAGAUUGCUAUCCAUAGAUCUGUGAGUGGAGAAUCUACGUUUCCAAAAAGAAUAUUUUCUUUUUAUUUUAUAGAAGCAUAUUAA